rnacentral:rRNA from 1 species
CAGCCGCCACGGUAAUACGAAGGGUGCAAGCGUUAAUCGGAAUUACUGGGCGUAAAGCGUGCGUAGGUGGUGGUUUAAGUCCGUUGUGAAAGCCCUGGGCUCAACCUGGGAAUUGCAGUGGAUACUGGGUCACUAGAGUGUGGUAGAGGAUAGUGGAAUUUCCGGUGUAGCAGUGAAAUGCGUAGAGAUCGGAAGGAACAUCUGUGGCGAAGGCGACUAUCUGGGCCAACACUGACACUGAGGCACGAAAGCGUGGGGAGCAAACAGGAUUAGAUACCCCCGUAGUCCCUGUCUCUUAUAC